CCAGGCCGACAUGGAGGGCAGCGGAGUGAUCUGUGCUGGGCAAAUUGGUGGCAUUGGUGAUGGUGAGUCCGGGAUCGUGGGAGGCAUUGGGGGCUGCAUCAAG